GAUUAUCAUGUUGAAGAGUUUGUAAAUGAACUACAUUUAGUUGACUGAUGUUGAAAGUGAAAGUACAACAGUAAACCUCCGAUUAUGAAUAGGUAGUUUACAGUUACUUAAAAGUAAAUCUAAUUAUAUUGAAUAGGCUUAAUUUAGAAACGAAACUUGUAGUUGUACUAAAUUUAAUGACAAACCGUGUAAUGUCACGGUUGACUGAUGAUGAAAUGUUUGAAUAUCGAAAAUACGUUGUCUCGAGAAGAACUGGACAAGAUGUAAUCAAAUCUGAACGAUUUGCUCAUAGAAGAUCGGGCUUACACACAGAAGCAAGAACCACAAGAUUUAUAAAGAAAGACAAUUUGAGGAAUUCUGUCAAGGCAUAUAUUUAGGAAAACAUUUUGGUUUUUACAUUGUAUUGAGAAGAAAUGUUAGCGAUAGCAAAUAUUUAGAUGUGGAUGGUUCCAUUCCACGUGUUCAUGGUAGAGUUGGUAAACCUCCAUCGCCUAGUUUGUCCUACACAGAGAAUGCAAAAAAAAAAAUAUUGUCAUGCUAGAGAAAAUGCUCCACCAUUUCUAGGAAGGUUAGCUAACCUCUGUCCCCACAAAAUAAUCUCAUAGAUCUAUGUCAGAAGAGUCAAGAGUUUUCAAACCUACUUGCAAAAAGUGGAAGUUUGUUAAUGGAAGGGAAAACCAGUGUACUGUACUUGAGGUAUACAAUGCACACAUUCAGCUAGCCGACGAACAGAGGGGCCGAUAUAGACUGCAGUGUACAAAAAGCAAAGAGAAAUACAUGCAUUCUUUAUUAAACAAGGAAAUGAAAAGACAAGGUAUAAUCAUUAUGUCUGUGGAAGUUCCAUUAUUCUUGGGAUUUAUGCCCAGCAACACAUACCAAUCAUGCCCAGCAUGUGGGACCUCCUUACUUUACUUCAGGACACCUAGGGAAUGUUGUGUUUUUUGGCAUGUGCUCUGAAAGUUCAGCAUGUUUAGGAAAGAAGAUAUUUUAAUUGGUGGAAGAAGGAGAGACAAAUUGCAAGGGAGCAAACAGUAUAAUAGUUAAUAUGGAACAUUACUAUUUCGCGUACUAUGUCUAUGGUGAAGAAGGAGAUUUCACUUGGACAA